GUGAGGUGAUAGAAAUUCAUUAGUCUGUCAAUCCCCUGAUUUUUAUGUGAUGUCAAUAGUGAAAUCCUGAUCGCUUCUGCUUUC